CUACGGGUGGCUCCAGUUAGGAAUAAUCUACAAUGCACGAAAGUGUGAUAGUUUGAGCCAGAGUGCGUUCCACAUGGAAUGCUUUUGUCGAAUGUAAAAAGUUCGACGAAUAAGGACUGGGUAAGACGGGUGCCAGCCGCCGCGGUAAUACUCGCGGUCCAAGUCGCAGCCAUUAUUAUUGGGUCUAAAACAUCCGUAGCUUGCUUUGUAAGUUUCUUGUGAAAUUCUAUAUCUUAAAUACAGAAAGUGCAAGAAGUACUGCAAAGCUAGAGACUGGAAGAAGUAAAAAGUACAUCUAAAGUAGCGGUUAAAUGUGUUGAUCUUAGGUGGACUAACGAUAGCGAAGGCAUUUUACUAGUACAGUUCUGACAGUAAGGGAUGAAGGCCAGGGGCGCAAAACGGAUUAGAUACCCUGGUAGUC
rnacentral:rRNA from 1 species